GACGAACGCUGGCGGCGUGCUUAACACAUGCAAGUCGAACGGAACGGCCCUGCUUUUGUGGGCACCUGGGGGUACGACGGGGGAACUAGCCCUUAGGUACCCUGCCCUUGCCUUUGGGAUAACUUCAGAAAACUGGGGCUAUUCCCGCCAAGGAGUUCUCGCUGCUGGGUGGGGGUGGGAAGGUUUCGCCGGUUGGGAAUGGACUCGCGGCUUAUCAGCUUGUUGGUGGGGUAGUGUAUUACCAUGGUUUUGAAGGGUGGCCGGCCUGGACGGGUCACCGGCCACAUUGGGACUGAGAUACGGCACAGACUCCUCCGGUACGCAGCGGUGGGGAAUAGUGCACAAUGGGCGGAAGCCUGAUGCAGCAACGCCGCGUGCGGGAUGACGGCCUUCGGGUAGUAAACCGCUUUCGCCUGUGACGAGGCGUGAGUGACGGUAAUGGGUAAAGAAGCACCGGCUAACUCCGUG
rnacentral:rRNA from 1 species